rnacentral:rRNA from 1 species
UACGUAGGGGGCAAGCGUUGUCCGGAAUUAUUGGGCGUAAAGCGCGCGUAGGUGGCCUCAUAAGUCCGCUGUGAAAGUCAAAGGCUCAACCUUUGAAAGCCGGUGGAUACUGUGAGGCUAGAGUACGGAAGAGGCGAGUGGAAUUCCUGGUGUAGCGGUGGAAUGCGCAGAUAUCAGGAGGAACACCGGUGGCGAAGGCGGGUCUCUGGGCCGAUACUGACGCUGAGGAGCGAAAGCGUGGGGAGCGAACAGG